CUCAGUCACUACUGUUGACACUUGUCACAAAUACAGGAAAGUGGUAAUACUGACAUUGAGGAAGUAUGACUCCACUAAUGCAUGUUAUGGUGGAACAACCUCCCUCUUGAAUUGGUGUAACUUCGGUCGAAAGUCGAUGUUGGGAUGAACGUUACAGCCUUGUAGUCUGCACAGAUAGCACGGUUAGUCACCCAAUAUGGCCAUCUAACUGUUGCACUAAGUGGAUUCAGUUUCUCUUCCUUUUGUCUCCGUGCAACACUCAUUUGAUGUCCCAUAUUAUGUUCAGGUUUAUGCAGAGGGGCCAGCUCGGCCUAUGGGUGGAGCUGCUACAGUUGCUAUGUGAGUAUCUUCUCUCUAUGUAACUACACCAUUGGUAAUUUGUAUUCUUUCACUAUUUGUCAUACAGUUCCACCAAAUGUCACAAGUACCUAACACAAACCAAGGGCUUCCUUUAAUAGCUAUAAGUUUUACAUCACCGAGAAACAAAUUCUACAAUAAUGUUGGUAAGCAUCAUAUUCACAUGCCACAGCCAAAAAGAGCAAGCACAUAGUAUUCUAAGAAUGGCCCAUAAAACUAAGCGAUGUAGCAGAGGAAGGUGGCAAACCUUAAUCACAGCACGACAUCCGCUGGCUACUGAUGGAUUGAACAAUACCUGGAAGAAGAACAUAGCAAUACACACAUCAAAAAGAGGCCAAGACAUGGACUGGAUCAAAUGCAUAUCCUACCGGAAAAGAAACAAUAGUUGGAGGUUCGCCAUCAUGGAAGGAGGUGGAUAACAACUUCUUGUUAGAUUUUAUUGGCCACCGCAGAAAUAAAUAGAAAUCGUAACAUCCCCAUGAUUGAUAACAGGAAAUAAUAACUUACCUUCAAAUCUCAGAGAGAGUGGCACACAUAGAGAGUGAGAGAGAGAGGGAGACUUAGACACCAUUCAUCGCAGUAAAAAUGAGUGCACGCCGCAGAACUGAUCAUAUGGGAAGAAUACCCUUCGAAAUUAUAUCCCAAAAGCUAGGCGCAGCCAAUAUAAAUAUACAAUUGUCAGAUAUUAUAAAAUGGUAUUAUAGGUGUGCUAAUGCCUAAAGUGCCAGAACAAAUCAUGCUCAUAUGCACAUGAGCACAUCACAACACAGACAUGCAUAAACACAUCGCAAAUUUCUGAAGAAAAGGGUUGGGGCGUCACAAGACCACAUGAUUUUCAUAGGAAAGACUUCUGGUCAUGUGUCACCUAAAAGUAUAUACAUGCAAGAACCUUUUCUCUCUUGAUCUUGGAAACAUCUACCUGCCUGGGAAGAUGCUAGAAGCAUGAUCCAGGCGAGAGGAAAAUUAUUUUUUCCCUAAGAAGCUACAGAGAGAGAGAGAAGUGAGCCAGUGAUCCUCGCCUAGCUAGUGCACACACACACACACACACACAUCAAGCCAACACACCAUAAACGCAGCAGCAGCACGCAAGCCACAAAUAGGCGUGUGGCGCAACGCACGGGGAAGACAGAGACACAACCAAUAGAGUGAGGAGCAAAUAGCCACGCUUGCCGUCGAGCCGUUCACACUAAAAGGGAUAAAAGAGUAGGACGUUUCUAUUCUCAAACCUUCCCAUCAUAGGGAGUAAUUAUCAAACAGAGAAACAAAAGGAAAAGAAAAGCAAGAAGUUCCCUUCCUCCAUCCGUUUUUUUAUUUUCUUUCACUUAUAUACAUCAGACUAACACACAAGCACUUUAACUAUUAUAAACAUAAUUCCCAAUUCAAGAACACGGUUGAAUAUUAGAGCACCACAUACUACUCUUCGUAAAGUAAAACCGGGCAUGCCAAGUCAUGACUGACAUACGAAGCUCAGGAAGGAUUUGAUUGUGCUAUUAGUCAGUAGGUACAUUACAGAGCUUGUUCAUGCUAAGAACAUCUGUUAUUAGAUUCUUAUAACCACACUUCAUGUUUCUAUUUUCUAAAUUAAAAUAAGCUAUCUCACUACAGUAAAAAAAUAAACACAUAUAUAGCUGACAUAAUUACCUCGCGAAGCUAUUAGCAAGGUAGUAGCAAAAUAUUAUGCUAUCCUAAUCAUAUUGCCAAAUUACAAUUGACCGAUUCUAGUCUAGGUUUUAAAUUUCAAAAGGGAGAACAACUCACCAUGCUCUUUGAUUUCUUCUUGGACCCAUGUUUCCUAUCACCAGUCCCCUCCCUGCCGCACGAAUCCUCAUUGAUCUAUGCAAAUCUUUAAACGAAAGCAUCCAAAUAACCAAUAUGUAUCUUCAAAAUAGAAAAAUCAAAUUCAUAAAAGCUAUCUAAUUGAUGGAAG
rnacentral:lncRNA from 1 species